GGGAGAUGUUUGGAAGGGAGUGGAGGAAACAGAUGCUGAGCUCAGACAUGUUAAGUUUGAGGUUCAAGACAGGCAGGGGCUCCAACUGCAGGGGCUGCUGGGAAAAUGAUGUCAUCAAUUCCCCAUCACUCUCCCCAGAAUCCGAAAGAAGAGGAAGGAAGAUGACAAAGAAAGGUUGGCCAGCCUUCAACGGCUGUCAUCACGAAAGGGAAAGGGGGAGUGUGGUCAAGAUCUGCCUCACUGAUCCAUGCCCAGGACUUGAGAAUUUGUUCUAUUCAUUAAACGCUU